rnacentral:rRNA from 1 species
GUAGGUGGCAAGCGUUGUCCGGAAUUAUUGGGCGUAAAGCGCGCGCAGGCGGUCCUUUAAGUCUGAUGUGAAAGCCCACGGCUCAACCGUGGAGGGUCAUUGGAAACUGGGGGACUUGAGUACAGAAGAGGAAAGCGGAAUUCCAAGUGUAGCGGUGAAAUGCGUAGAGAUUUGGAGGAACACCAGUGGCGAAGGCGGCUUUCUGGUCUGUAACUGACGCUGAGGCGCGAAAGCGUGGGGAGCAAACAGGGAUUAGAUACCCUGGUAGUCCACACCGUAAACGAUGAGUGCUAAGUGUUAGGGGGUUUCCCGCCCCUUAGUGCUGCAGCUAACGCAUUAAGCACUCCGCCUGGGGAUACGGCCGCAAGGCUG